rnacentral:rRNA from 1 species
AUUGAACGCUGGCGGCAGGCCUAACACAUGCAAGUCGAGCGCGCGGCGGACGGGUGAGUAAUGUAUGGGGAUCUGCCCGAUAGAGGGGGAUAACUACUGGACACGGUGGCUAAUACCGCAUACUCUCGGAUGCACCCAUAUGGUAUUAGCUAGUAGGGGGGGUAAAGGCUCCCCUAGGCGACGAUCUCUAGCUGGUCUGAGAGGAUGACCAGCCACACUGGGACUGAGACACGGUCCAGACUCCUACGGGAGGCAGCAGUGGGGAAUAUUGCACAAUGGGCGCAAGCCUGAUGCAGCCAUGCCGCGUGUAUGAAGAAGGCCUUAGGGUUGUAAAGUACUUUCAGCGGGGAGGCGUUACCCGCAGAAGAAGCACCGGCUAACUCCGUGCCAGCAGCCGCGGUAAUAC